rnacentral:rRNA from 1 species
AGUGAACGCUGGCGGUAGGCCUAACACAUGCAAGUCGAACGGCAGCACAGUAAGAGCUUGCUCUUACGGGUGGCGAGUGGCGGACGGGUGAGGAAUACAUCGGACUCUACUUUUUCGUGGGGGAUAACGUAGGGAAACUUACGCUAAUACCGCAUACGACCUACGGGUGAAAGCAGGGGAUCUUCGGACCUUGCGCGAUUGAAUGAGCCGAUGUGGGAUUAGCUAGUUGGCGGGGUAAAGGCCCACCAAGGCGACGAUCCGUAGCUGGUCUGAGAGGAUGAUCAGCCACACUGGAACUGAGACACGGUCCAGACUCCUACGGGAGGCAGCAGUGGGGAAUAUUGGACAAUGGGCGCAAGCCUGAUCCAGCCAUACCGCGUGGGUGAAGAAGGCCUUCGGGUUGUAAAGCCCUUUUGUUGGGAAAGAAAAGCAGCAGGUUAAUACCCCGCUGUUCUGACGGUACCCAAAGAAUAAGCACCGGCUAACUUCGUG